UUAAAUUGAAGAGUUUGAUCAUGGCUCAGAUUGAACGCUGGCGGCAGGCCUAACACAUGCAAGUCGAACGGUAACAGGAAGAAGCUUGCUUCUUUGCUGACGAGUGGCGGACGGGUGAGUAAUGUCUGGGAAACUGCCUGAUGGAGAGGGAUAACUACUGGAAACGGUAGCUAA
rnacentral:rRNA from 1 species